rnacentral:rRNA from 1 species
GAUGAACGCUAGCGGCAGGCUUAACACAUGCAAGUCGAGGGGUAUAGUUCUUCGGAGCUAGAGACCGGCGCACGGGUGCGUAACGCGUAUGCAAUCUACCUUUUGCAGAGGGAUAGCCCAGAGAAAUUUGGAUUAAUACCUCAUGGUAUGUGAGAAUGGCAUCAUUUUCACAUUAAAGUCACAACGGCAAAAGAUGAGCAUGCGUCCCAUUAGCUAGUUGGUAAGGUAACGGCUUACCAAGGCAACGAUGGGUAGGGGUCCUGAGAGGGAGACCCCCCAGCCUGGAACUGGGACACGGACCAGACUCCUACGGGAGGCAGCAGUGAGGAAUAUUGGACAAUGGGCGCAAGCCUGAUCCAGCCAUGCCGCGUGCAGGAUGACGGUCCUAUGGAUUGUAAACUGCUUUUGUACAGGAAGAAACACUGGUUCGUGAACCAGCUUGACGGUACUGUAAGAAUAAGGAUCGGCUAACUCCGUGCCAGCCGCCGCGGUAAUAC